GGAUCAGGCUUUGCUCAUAUUUCAUAACCAGCUGACUGAAGAAGUGCAUGCUUCCUACACAUCAGAUUACUGCUACAAGUGUUUGUACCAACAUUUGGUCACAGUGAAACCCAACAACAAUAAUGCUUCUGCAAUAAUCAGCACCAAAUUUACUCUGACAGUACAAGUGGAAUCACAAACCAGGAAUGCAACCUUUUGCAGAUGGAGUCAAACGUAUGAGGAAGGUGGUCACUACUCUAUUUGGAUUUACACCCUAG